rnacentral:rRNA from 1 species
UACGUAGGGUGCGAGCGUUAAUCGGAAUUACUGGGCGUAAAGCGUGCGCAGGCGGUAAGUUAAGUCUGAUGUGAAAGCCCCGGGCUUAACCUGGGAAUGGCAUUUGGGACUGCAAGGCUUGAGUGCGGCAGAGGAGACGUGGAAUUCCUGGGUGUAGCGGUGAAAUGCGCAGAUAAUCGGGGAGGAACACCGGUGGCGAAGGCGGC